GUAGGGUGCGAGCGUUAAUCGGAAUUACUGGGCGUAAAGCGUGCGCAGGCGGUUUCGUAAGACAGAUGUGAAAUCCCCGGGCUUAACCUGGGAACUGCGUUUGUGACUGCGAGACUAGAGUGUGGCAGAGGGGGGUGGAAUUCCACGUGUAGCAGUGAAAUGCGUAGAGAUGUGGAGGAACACCGAUGGCGAAGGCAGCCCCCUGGGUUAGACACUGACGCUCAUGCACGAAAGCGUGGGUAGCAAACAGGAUUAGAUACCCUGGUAGUCCACGCCCUAAACGAUGCCAACUAGGUGUUGGGUAAGGAGACUUCCUUAUACCGUACKAACGCGUGAAGUUGCCGCC
rnacentral:rRNA from 1 species